GUCACAUCUCAUUGUACAUUUCAUCAAAAAUAUCUUCUUGUUGUAUGUAUUACUCAAUAUGUAAAUUUUUCCGGUGAUGAAUCGCUUUGAUGUGUAUGGCCUGAUGAUUUUGAUGGUGAAAGGAGAUAAUUAAGCUUAACCAACGUGUGAUUUUGUUUUCACUUUUGGGGAAAGGGAUACUUAAGCUUAACCAAUGUCUUUGUUUCUUCUUUCUUUUUGUUGUUCGUGUGUGUAAAGGAUUAAGCAAUCAUUGUCUACCAAUCUAGCACCUUUUGCUAGCUAUAUCUGGCUAUCUUGCUGUCGAGAAAAAUUGUAGCAACCAACCAUCAUCAACCACCUUCUGCUACAGGAUCUAAGGGCAAUAUAGAAGAUUAUAGUGACAACAACUGCAAUCCAGUGAAAAUGUGCAGAAGAUUUAGUUGACAAGGCCGUGGUCAGUGUUUAAAUAGGAUCUAGGUUCUAGGCACACUCAGACCAUAGAAGUCAUAGAGCCUGGGCAUAAAUCACAGGCAUGUGGUGUGCGCCUUUGAACCAAACGAUUUUAGCAUAUCUGGUGUUGAGGGAGUGUAUAGUGUGGUGGAGACUAUGGAGAGAAGGAAAAAUAUUUCAGCAUGAAGAAAGUAAAAGAAAAAGAUAGCAAUGGUAGGAGGCCUAUCUAAGCACUUGGACAGCACAUCUUAUGUGCAUCUUUUCAAGCAUAUCAUGGUUUGCAAUGCACUACCUUAUUGCUGAUGAAACAGUGUGUCAAAGACAUCAUUGGGGAAAACAUUUCAUAUAAGCUGUCAAACAUUGUAGAUUGAGGAAAGUUGUGGGAAGAUGACAAGCGAAAGCCCAUUUGACGAGCAUAAUCAAUAAAGAGCAAGCAACACAGAGACUCUAUAACUAAAGGCUUUCUUGAGAAUCCUUGGGCACAACAGAGUUCUAUUAACGGUUAGGUGAUUAGAAAUAACUGAGUACAGCUAUGUCUAAUCAUACAGCCACAAAGUUCUUAUUGGGCUUGCCAACCUCUCUUCAUGUGAUCUAUACUGAUCUUCUUGCACCUCCAUCUGGAAUUAUGGAUAUGAUAGUUUCUUCUUUAGAUCUCAAUUCCUGCAACUUAUCUUCAAUGGAGUUUCUGGUAAUUUCCACUAUAUAUUUGUGUGACCUCAUUUCUGGUUCUUAGGUAUAUUUGUAUCGACGUGGAAUGACAUCGUCAUAACUUAAAUAUGUGAUAUGUAUAAAGAAUCAUAGAUUAGUGGCACUA